UACGAAGGGGGCUAGCGUUGCUCGGAAUCACUGGGCGUAAAGGGUGCGUAGGCGGGUCUUUUAAGUCAGGGGUGAAAUCCUGGAGCUCAACUCCAGAACUGCCUUUGAUACUGAAGAUCUGAGUUCGGGAGAGGUGAGUGGAACUGCGAGUGUAGAGGUGAAAUUCGUAGAUAUUCGCAAGAACACCAGUGGCGAAGGCGGCUCACUGGCCCGAUACUGACGCUGAGGCACGAAAGCG
rnacentral:rRNA from 1 species